rnacentral:rRNA from 1 species
UACGUAGGGGGCAAGCGUUGUCCGGAUUUAUUGGGCGUAAAGAGCGUGUAGGCGGCCAAGCAGGUCAGCUGUGAAAACUCGAGGCUCAACCUCGAGACGUCGGUUGAAACCGCUUGGCUAGAGUCCGGAAGAGGAGAGUGGAAUUCCCGGUGUAGCGGUGAAAUGCGCAGAUAUCGGGAGGAACACCAGUGGCGAAGGCGGCGACCUGGGCCAAUAUUGACGCUGAGGUGCGAAAGCGUGGGGAGCAAACAGG